AUGCACUGGUUCGCGUGGUGGAAAUUGUGUGCACCAAACAAGAAGGGUGGAUUGGGGUUCAGGGACCUUCACAACUUCAAUCUUGCUAUGUUAGCAAAGUAGUGUUGGCGUCUUCUCCAAAAUCAGGACUUGUUGUGUGCACGUGUAUUAAGUGCUAAUUACCCCAAUGGUGACAUAUUAAAGGCUGGACCAAAGAAAGGGUUUUCGUUUACUUGGCAAAGUAUUGUGGCUAGAAUUCAAACUUUCAAGAGAGGUUGUAUAUGGCGGGUUGGAGCGGGCUCGCAAAUAAAUAUUUGGGAUGAUCCUUGGAUUCCUUCUAGUGCGUCAAGAAAGGUUAUAACACCUAGAGCAGGGACAAUGUUAACACUAGUGGAGGAAAUUAUAGACCCUCACACGGGACAGUGGGAUCUGGACCUUAUUAGGUCUGUCUUUCCACCGGUUGAUGUUGCUAAAAUAAUUCAAAUUCCGCUCCGGAUGGAGGCUGUGGAAGAUUUUGUGGCGUGACAGUUUACAAGGUCAAGAGCCUUCCUAAUUCGGUCGGCGUACCACGCGGCAUCUAAUCAUUAGUUUGGGAGCCAAAUAGCCAGGUCAGAUGGACAAGGUAUCGUUCAGUUGAACUCCAUAUCGAAACAACUUUGGCAACUACGUACUCCACAGAAAAUAAAACACUUCGGGUGGAAGGUGCUCAUGGGUGUACUACCAUGCUUGGGAGUCUUAGCCGGAAGACACAUUCCAGUUCUUUGGCAAUGUCCAUUUUGCAAGACUGAGAUUGAUGACAUUCAACAUGUUCUUUUCUGCUGUCCACGGGGCGCGCAAGGUUUAGGCCGAGCUUGGGCUAAAAUCUGCUAUAGAUGA
rnacentral:rRNA from 1 species